rnacentral:rRNA from 1 species
GGGAACCUCACCCGGCCCGGACACCGCGAGGAUUGACAGACUGAGAGCUCUUUCUCGAUUCGGUGGGUGGUGGUGCAUGGCCGUUCUUGGUUGGUGGAGCGAUCUGUCUGGUUAAUUCCGAUAACGAACGAGACCCCAACCUGCUAACUAGCCCUCGGGUCCUGCUUCUGUUGGGCCCGACGGAAUGAUUCGCUUCUUAGAGGGACUCGCGGCGCCUAGCCGCACGAAGGGGGGCGAUAA